UCCAAAUGUUUACUUCAUACUAGCUAGAAGAGGCUCACUGCUUUCCUAGACCGCUUCCCCGGGAGUCUUUCCCGCUUUCAUUCGCGCGUUGCAGCAAGCACCGCGAGAUUCCCGAGACAGCAAGGGCGGGGCAGUCGGCAGCAAAUUCCCAGCAUCCUCCCCAGGGCUCUCCGGGUUCCGAGGCUGCGCGUGUCGCCGCGCAGGCGCAGACACCGCGUCUUGACUUCCGCGCGCUGCAUUGACUAUAAAUAGGCGUGCCCGGCCGCUCUCCGUCCUUUCUGGGCCCAUCCGCUCUGGACUUGCUGCUUGCUUUUGAACCAAUUCCAGAUGAUCUGACUUGGAGAGAAGAGGAUCCAGAUCUUCACAUUGUCGGUUGAUUAACUUUAGGUUUCUUGAUUUGGUAGAAAGGUAAAUUUGAAGGAUGUAUUGAGAUUCUGAGUUAAACUUUAGCCCCAGGUUCGCUAAGUGAAGUGAUCUUUCUAAGGAAUUGUGGGGUGCUGGUAUGGGUGGAUUUUUCUACCUACAUUUCUGUUGGGAGGGUUAGACCCAUCAAUGCUUAGGGCUCUCUCCUGGCUUGUGCUUGGGAUUAUAUAGGAUAUCAGUGAUUAGACCUAAGGGAGUCUGAUCCACCCUACCCACUGUGACCAUGGGGUGGGGUAAUGUAUUUCUGGAUGGGACAUAAAAGCCCCUGAAAAAGUGAUCUUCCGAUGUAUUUAAUGAAUUUCAAUAAAAGUGAUUA